AACGUACGCUGGCGGCACGCCUAACACAUGCAAGUCGAACGAAGUAGCAAUACUUAGUGGCAGACGGGUGAGUAACAUGUGGGUAUCUGCCCUUUGGCCUGGAAUAACACGAGGAAACUUGUGCUAAUACCGGAUAAGUCUUUACGGAGAAAGCUUUAUGCACCAUUGGAUGAGCCCGCACUUGAUUAGUUUGUUGGUGGGGUAAUGGCCUACCAAGACUGUGAUCAAUAGCUGAUUUGAGAGGAUGAUCAGCCACAUUGGGACUGAGACACGGCCCAAACUCCUACGGGAGGCAGCAGUGGGGAAUCUUGCACAAUGGAGGAAACUCUGAUGCAGCGAUGCCGCGUGAGUGAAGAAGGCCCUUGGGUUGUAAAGCUCUUUCGUCGGGGAAGAAAAUGACUGUACCCGAAUAAGAAGGUCCGGCUAACUUCGUGCCAGCAGCCGCGGUAAUACGAAGGGACCUAGCGUAGUUCGGAAUUACUGGGCUUAAAGAGUUCGUAGGUGGUUGAAAAAGUUAGUGGUGAAAUCCCAGAGCUUAACUCUGGAACUGCCAUUAAAACUUUUCAGCUAGAGUAUGAUAGAGGAAAGCAGAAUUUCUAGUGUAGAGGUGAAAUUCGUAGAUAUUAGAAAGAAUACCAAUUGCGAAGGCAGCUUUCUGGAUCAUUACUGACACUGAGGAACGAAAGCAUGGGUAGCGAAGAGGAUUAGAUACCCUCGUAGUCCAUGCCGUAAACGAUGUGUGUUAGACGUUGGAAAUUUAUUUUCAGUGUCGCAGCGAAAGCGAUAAACACACCGCCUGGGGAGUACGACCGCAAGGUUAAAACUCAAAUGAAUUGACGGGGACCCGCACAAGUAGUGGAGCAUGUGGUUUAAUUCGAAGAUACGCGCAGAACCUUACCAACACUUGACAUGUUCGUCGCGACUCUGAGAGAUUAGAGUUUUCGGUUCGGCCGGA
rnacentral:rRNA from 1 species